rnacentral:misc_RNA from 1 species
UCCAUAAUAAAAAUCUGAAAGACAGCUUUAAUUGUUUGUAGAAAUACUAGCUACAGAGAGUGUAAAGGUAUUUUUUAAAGCCCCAAAAGUAAAUGCAAUAAAUCGGCCUCAGCUUUGCGACAAGCAUUUACAUCAAUCUUUUUUUCUUAAAUAAGUCAUGUUUCAUAGAAAAUAUGCCAAAAGGAGCACUACCAAACAUAUAGGUGAUACACAAGAAGCCUACAUUCGAUGAGAUGGCUCAAAACCUCAACAAGCAAAUGCAAAGAAUCAUUAGAUCAUCCACAAACAAGCACAUCAUACAUAAAGCAUAUCAAACAAAACCGCCCCAUUUUUUCAUUUUCGCAACUUCUGGAAAAUUCUCAUCAUAUCCAGAUAUUUUGACAAACUUGAAAUGCCAAG